ACGCUUUUUCUUUCACCGGAGCUUGCUCCAUCGAAAGAAAAAGAGUGGCGAACGGGUGAGUAACACGUGGGUAACCUGCCCAUCAGAAGGGGAUAACACUUGGAAACAGGUGCUAAUACCGUAUAACACUAUUUUCCGCAUGGAAGAAAGUUGAAAGGCGCUUUUGCGUCACUGAUGGAUGGACCCGCGGUGCAUUAGCUAGUUGGUGAGGUAACGGCUCACCAAGGCCACGAUGCAUAGCCGACCUGAGAGGGUGAUCGGCCACACUGGGACUGAGACACGGCCCAGACUCCUACGGGAGGCAGCAGUAGGGAAUCUUCGGCAAUGGACGAAAGUCUGACCGAGCAACGCCGCGUGAGUGAAGAAGGUUUUCGGAUCGUAAAACUCUGUUGUUAGAGAAGAACAAGGAUGAGAGUAAAACGUUCAUCCCUUGACGGUAUCUAACCAGAAAGCCACGGCUAACUACGUGCCAGCAGCCGCGGUAAUACGUAGGUGGCAAGCGUUGUCCGGAUUUAUUGGGCGUAAAGCGAGCGCAGGCGGUUUCUUAAGUCUGAUGUGAAAGCCCCCGGCUCAACCGGGGAGGGUCAUUGGAAACUGGGAGACUUGAGUGCAGAAGAGGAGAGUGGAAUUCCAUGUGUAGCGGUGAAAUGCGUAGAUAUAUGGAGGAACACCAGUGGCGAAGGCGGCUCUCUGGUCUGUAACUGACGCUGAGGCUCGAAAGCGUGGGGAGCGAACAGGAUUAGAUACCCUGGUAGUCCACGCCGUAAACGAUGAGUGCUAAGUGUUGGAGGGUUUCCGCCCUUCAGUGCUGCAGCAAACGCAUUAAGCACUCCGCCUGGGGAGUACGACCGCAAGGUUGAAACUCAAAGGAAUUGACGGGGGCCCGCACAAGCGG
rnacentral:rRNA from 1 species